GUAUUUGCGCAGUGGCAGUAUCGUAGCCAAUGAGGUUUAUCCGAGGCGCGAUUAUUGCUAAUUGAAAACUCUUGGGGCGCCUGGGUGGCACAGCGGUUAAGCGUCUGCCUUCAGCUCAGGGCGUGAUCCUGGCGUUAUGGGAUCGAGCCCCACAUCAGGCUCCUCCGCUAUGAG
rnacentral:snRNA from 1 species